rnacentral:tRNA from 1 species
GCGGGGGUAGCCAAGCCUGGCCUAAGGCGCAGCGCUGAGGUGGGCUAUCCCAUGGACAGCCCUCAGAACCGCUGUGGGGUAGCCCUUCGUGGGUUCGAAUCCCACCCCCCGCA